CAGCAGCCGCGGUAAUACGUAGGUCCCGACCGUUGUCCGGAAUUAUUGGGCGUAAAGGGAACGCAGGCGGACAUAUAAGUCCAUCUUAAAAGUGCGGGGCUCAACCCCGUGAGGGGAUGGAAACUGUAUGCCUUGAGUGCAGGAGAGGAAAGCGGAAUUCCCAGUGUAGCGGUGAAAUGCGUAGAUAUUGGGAGGAACACCAGUGGCGAAGGCGGCUUUCUGGACUGUAACUGACGCUGAGGCUCGAAAGCCAGGGGAGCGAACGGGAUUAGAUACCCGCGUAGUCCCUGUCUCUUAUACA
rnacentral:rRNA from 1 species